CGCUCUUGACAAACAUAAGAGGUCCAGCCUGCCCAGUGACAAAGUUCAACGGCCGCGGUACCCUAACCGUGCGAAGGUAGCAUAAUCACUUGUUCUCUAAAUAAGGACUUGUAUCAACGGCGCUACGAGGGUUAUACUGUCUCCUUUUUCCAAUCAGUGAAACUGAUCUCCCCGUGAAGAAGCGGGGAUCAAAAUAUAAGACGAGAAGACCCCAUGGAGCUUUAAACUCACUGUACACCUCUAUGUUCCUAUAUCCUUAUAACACAAGAAACCUGUACAUUAGUUUUAGGUUGGGGGGACCACGGAGUACAACUUAACCUCCAUAACAAAUGGGCUAACACCCUUAUCCACGAGACACAACUCUAAGAAUUAAUAGACUAAUGCUUAUGACCCGAUAUUCGAUCAAUGAACCAAGUUACCCUGGGGAUAACAGCGCAAUCUACUUCAAGAGCCCAUAUCGACAAGUAGGUUUACGACCUCGAUGUUGGAUCAGGGUAUCCCGGUGGUGCAGCCGCUACCAAUGGUUCGUUUGUUCAACGA
rnacentral:rRNA from 1 species